rnacentral:rRNA from 1 species
GCUUAGAGAGGGGUCAAUGUCCUAUCAGCUAGUUGGUAAGGUAAUGGCUUACCAAGGCUAAGACGGGUAGCCGGCCUGAGGGGGUGGUCGGCCACACUGGGACUGAGACACUGCCCAGACUCCUACGGGAGGCUGCAGUCGAGAAUCUUCCGCAAUGCCCGAAAGGGUGACGAAGCGACGCCGCGUGUGGGAAGAAGGCCUUCGGGUUGUAAACCACUGUCGGGAGUUAAGAAAUGUAAGGGUGUUAAUAGCAUCCUUGCUUGACUAAGGCUCCGGAGGAAGCCACGGCUAACUCUGUGCCAGCAGCCGCGGUAAUACAGAGGCGGCAAGCGUUGUUCGGAAUUAUUGGGCGUAAAGAGCACGUAGGCGGCUUUGUAAGUCAGUUGUGAAAGCCUUCUGCUUAACGGAAGAACAGCAUCUGAUACUGCAAGGCUAGAGUACGGAAGGG